AUUGAACGCUGGCGGCAGGCCUAACACAUGCAAGUCGAGCGGAUGAAGGGAGCUUGCUCCUGGAUUCAGCGGCGGACGGGUGAGUAAUGCCUAGGAAUCUGCCUGGUAGUGGGGGAUAACGUCCGGAAACGGGCGCUAAUACCGCAUACGUCCUGAGGGAGAAAGUGGGGGAUCUUCGGACCUCACGCUAUCAGAUGAGCCUAGGUCGGAUUAGCUAGUUGGUGGGGUAAAGGCCUACCAAGGCGACGAUCCGUAACUGGUCUGAGAGGAUGAUCAGUCACCCUGGACCUGAAACCCGGUCCGGCCCCCUCGGGGGGGCGCCAGGGGGGAAUUUUGGACAAUGGGCAAAGCCCUGACCCACCCAUGCCGGGUGUGUGAAGAAGGUCUUCGGUUUUUAAAACACUUUAAGUUGGGAGGAAGGGAAGUAAGUUAUUCCUUUGUUUUUUUGCCUUUCCCAAAAAAAAAACCCCCGGCUAACUUCGUC
rnacentral:rRNA from 1 species